rnacentral:tRNA from 1 species
GGCUUGGCAGCUUAGUUGGUAAAGCGCUCGUCUAGCAUACAAGAGUCCUGGGUUGAAAUUCCAGUCGAGCAU